rnacentral:lncRNA from 1 species
GAAAAACUUGAUUCUUAAUUGCUUAGAUUCUUACAUACUAUAGGUAUAUUUUUGGUUUCUUCCGCUUAUAUAAUCAAAUAAGAUAGAAAGCAGGAUGUUUGAUUCAACUCAAUACUCUACAUGAAUGCCUAGUUUUCAAGUGUUGAUAUGUUUUCCAUUACAAUUGUUGCUACCCCAAUUCUGAUUGCAACAUAUUCUAGUGAUUUUGUAGUGGAAUUCAUGUUUGAAUCUUAUGCCUAAAUAGACAUCUAAGUAGUAGAGUUUUAUAAUUAACUAAUUGAGUCUAUUUUAGAAGUUAUUAUGGUAGUAUUUAAAUGACUAUUUUAUGAUAAGUUGAAUUAUAGUUUUUCUUUUGGUUCCCUUUUAAGUUGAUAAUUAAUUCUUGCUUGUUUUUUCUUAUGCAUGACCUUUGUCGAUGGAUCCAAAUGGACUCCCUUGCAUUUCUUUGGGACUAGGAUCCCCAAAAUACUGAGUCAAGCCCCAAUCAAGUCCAAAAUAUACUAAACAUAUGAAGAAAUAAUGUUGUAUACAAAAAUAUACAAUAAAUAUACAGGCAUACAGGUGAUAAAGAGAAAAGGAGUGUCAAUAUUAAGCUGGAGGAUCAAAGGGGGUGUAUAUGACUGAUUUUCAGUCAUGUAUACACCAAUUAUAAUAAAAAAACUGAAGAAAUUGAGUUGUGAUAUACAACUGAUACACAUAGUUGAAAUGGGCUGAAAAAGCCUAAAAAAUAGGCCCAAAGAGUUGGUCAGAAUUGAAAAUAGGCUAAAAAGGGG